AUACGAACCGUACGAACGUUAUUCGGAAUCACUGGGCUUAAAGAGUGCGUAGGCGGCUUGGUAAGUUGGGUGUGAAAUCCCUCGGCUCAACCGAGGAAUUGCGCCCAAUACUGCUAGGCUUGAGGGAGGUAGGGGUGAGCGGAACUAAUGGUGGAGCGGUGAAAUGCGUUGAUAUCAUUAGGAACACCGGAGGCGAAAGCGGCUCACUGGAUCUCUUCUGACGCUGAGGCACGAAAGCUAGGGGAGCGAACGGGAUUAGAAACCCCGGUAGUCC
rnacentral:rRNA from 1 species